UGUGCGCGAGUCAUGGGUCUUGAACAAGCCCAGAGGCGAAAUGAAAGUAAAGGCUGGAGGAGUCCAGCCGCAUUCGGGAUCCCCUUUCCCUCGCGGAGGGGGCGCACCGAAGACCCGCCGCGUUCCACUCGUGGUUGUGGCGGAGUUUGAGCGCACACGUUCUGACCCGAAAGAUGGUGAACUAUGCCCGGACAGGACGAAGCCAGAGGAAACUCUGGUGGAGGUCCGUAGCGGUUCUGACGUGCAAAUCGAUCGUCAGAUCUGGGUCUAGCGGCGUAAGACUAAUCGAACCAUCUA
rnacentral:rRNA from 1 species